GUUCCUGAAGUAACAAGUGCUGUGUGAGGCAGGACUUUGACCUCUGACCUGCACAACCAACUGGAUUUGGGACUGGGUCCUUAGAGAAAGAUUUUUGAGUCUUGGGGACCUGGAGGUUCCCCUUUUCUAUGAAGGAGGCAUAGUUGAGAAGAACCCCCAGUUACUGGACCCUUGCCAGUCAUGAAGAUCUAGUCAUGAAGCGAAAUGAUUAACUGCCCCAUUCUUAGGCUGCCCAGCUGCCUUCUGUACACCACAAGGAAUUCAAGACGAACUAACUCAAGCCACCAGGAUUCCAGGUCUUUCGGAAAGCCACCACCCUCUACCCUUUCCUUUCCCUGGACAGCUUUGAAUCCAUUUCCUUAUCGGCUCCACUCUGGAGUGCUGGCAUGGUCGGGGGAGGGGGCCAGUCUAUAGAGAGACUACAGUCAUUUCAAGCCUGGCUCUUAAACUGAAGAAUUGAUGUUUAACUGUUUAUUCAAUGUGUAUUUGAAAUACAGAUCAAGCAAAUAGGCCACAGAACUAUCAGUGGCCUCUGAUCCCAACCCAAAACAGUUGCUGUAAAAGGCAGCUUUAAAAGCCUUGGCUGGCUCUUGGCUCCGUGGCAGUGAACCAGCUAUGCCCUGCCCAUUGUAGACGCAUGUGGCAUGUGAACACCUGUGUUCUGCAGUGUGCCAAGACAGUGAGCUGAGAGGCUAGGAAUGAAUAGAGAUGGAGGACUGAUUUGAUUGUUCAAUAUUGACUAUUCAAAUUUGGUAAGGAGUAGACUUUUUUUUGGAACAGUUUUAGGUUUACAGAAAACUUGGGUGGACAGCACAGGCCUCCAUACCUUCUUGGUCUGCACACAGCUUCUGUGUGCAAAUAAAAUACACUAAAAAAGUCAAUAAAGAUAUUACGUUAGUGUGUCACAGUCUCUACUGCAUUCCAGCUACAGCUGAUACAUUAUAAACUAAAGUUGACAGUCUGUGCAGCUCUUUCCCAACCAAUGUCCUCUUUCUGUCCCAGGAUUCACCUCCCCAGACCACAUUGCAUUUAGGUAUCUUGUCUCUUUGGGCUCUUCUCGGCUGUGACAAUGUAUCUUUGUUUUGAUGACUGUUGCAUCUGUAAGGAGCACAGGUCAGUUGGCCUAUUGGUAAUGCUCAUCAUGAUGGACACUCCCAGGACUGUUGAAGGAUUGUAAGCUGCAUAGAACCACCCUUGCAUGGCAUGGGCAUCUGAUAAAUAUUGCAUAUUGCUGCCACAGAGCUCUGCUGUUUCAAAAACCCUUCCCACGUGUUAUCUCACUUGCCCUUUCAUACAGCCUUGAGAAGUGGACAGGAUGGAUCAGCUGACUCUGCACUGCCCACCCCACGCUCCCACCCUCGCCUAAUAAACUGCAUUGGCCUGUAAUCUGUCUUUGAAAACAAAAAGAAGGAGCCCUCCCAAGCAAACAGCUCUCGGUUCCCACUCGGGGUGAGCUGGCAGACAGCCUGCAUUCUGCUGUCCCCCUCUCCCUCUCUGUAAAUAUGGAUGAAGCUGGAGGUGCUGGGAGCUUGGGUGGGGAAGGGGGGAGCUUUACUGUGGAGUUCAUCAGAUUCCCUCCCUGCAGUUAGGUCUCAGAGUCUUAGCCUGCUGGAUAUGGGGUGGGGGGAGGGGGCAAGGAGAGUGACACAUGGCAGGGGGAUGUGGGUCCUUCACUACCCACUUUGCCCCUUCCCCCCUUUGUAUCUUUAACCCAAGCUCAUUUUCCAGUCGAAGGAGCUUGUCAGCUGCUUCCCUUCUGCCUCUCAUUGCCCUGCCGUGGCGCCUGUCAGGCUGCCUCCAGGAACUAUCGGGUACUGCCCAGCCUCUCCUGAUACAUGGCUGGCUGUUCCCAACUUCAGUUUGUCAAAUUGGCUGGCAGGGCCAGAGGCAUGGGUUCUUGAGCCAGGCCCUCCUCACCCUUGACUGGCAGCUGAAUCAGGUCCCUCUCUCAUUGGACCUAGGCUUUCCAAAAUUAAAGGCAGAUGGUUGUCUCAUUAUAUCCCAGCGUGCCCUGCUGAGAUGCCACAUUCUCUGUUGAAAGACAAGGAGAUACAAUAAGCUAAAUCGUGUCCUGUGGUCUCUAAUAACAGCCCAGGUAACCCGUGAGGCCAGGACACAGUGCUCAGGCAUUCCAUGGCCCUUUGAAGGCUGCCCCUUCUUGGGUACGUCUGCUUGUCAUCUUACUGGGGUAUUCAAGCAGGCUGUGGUGAUCCUAGGGUACAUUGUCCAGCCCGAGGUUGAGCCUGCAGAAAGGCAAGCAGGCCCCAUAGAAGGGAAACGAGGGUCUGCAGGUAGGGUGAGGAAAAUUCAUGUCAUUUGGAACUUCGGCCUAGUAAAGAGAGAUGGUUAUCAAAUUACAUCACAAGAGUACCAAGCAUUCUGGUAUAUCUCAGAGUAACACAGCAUGUUGCUGUAUCAUCGACCGGUGGCUUCUCUUUCUGAGUGGCUUUUACCCAGCAAUUAAGUGAAAUUAUGUGACUCAGUAUGGAAAGGUAAUCGCUGGAGGAUUCUUCUGAUUGCCUUUGCCUCCCAUGCAGUGGGUGCCUGUGCGAACAGCGGGAUAGCGGGAGAGGAGACUAACACAGAAUGGCUGCGGUUGGCCACAGUGUGUGCCUGGGCAUGGACAGAGUGGACCAUGGAAAGGAGGUGGAACUCUUCCUCAUACUGUGCGAGAUCUAACAGAAUGGUCUAGAGCAAUGGUGACCAGAUUAAUAAGGCGAGAUGGAGCUCUCAACUCCAGCAGCAAUGAUGUAAUGCAGUCCUCAACUCCAGCAGUGUUGAUGUAAUGGAGCCCUCAGCUCCAGCAGCAAUGACUUAUAAGAUUCCCUGUCUCAGCCAGCCAGGUCUUCAGGGCUCUAUGCAGGGGUCCAGGUCCACAAAACAAAACAUUUUAAUACGCAGGUUGAGACUUAGGGAACAAUCCUGAGCCUCCCUCCUGGCCCUAUUCUCUUCUGCGUGGCUUAUUCCCUUACUUCAAUAUUCCUCCCUCCUUCCGUUCUUCCCAAAACUCUGGGCCUGGAAUGAGAUGAUUAUACUACCUCAUCUAUGUCCUCCAACCUCAGCUGAGCUCCAGGCUGCCCAGUUCCUCCCCUGUAAGGAAGAGGAAAGGAAUGCAGAGACUGGAAUGUCAGGAGAAGCCAGGGUCUUACCACGAAGAGAGGAGAGGUCAAGAUAGAACUCCUUGGUUAAUAGAAACAAAGGCAUCUGUGUCCCCUCAAAGGCUCCGUGUAUGUAGCUGGCCACUGUGCUCCCAGACAGUGCCAGCUGUACCACCGAUGCCAUCUUUCAAAGUGGUCCAGGUGCCAAGAGGCAGCCUUGGAAGAGGCUCAGGCUGAGAGGAGCUGCUGGUGUAGACCAGGCCCCGGCAGCAGCUUGGAGGAUAGAGACUUGGCUAGUUCUCAAAUGUAUGAUAGUGUCCCUUUCAGAACUCUGCAACUUGAUCGCAGAUGUUUGCUUUGCAAUACAAGGACAGGUCUUCACUCCAGAGCUUGGCAUUACUGAGUCUCCAUAGUCUGAUGCCAGCCAUCUUAUCGGCAUUCUCCCUACCCACCCAUCACGAUUUACCCAGACUGGAUUAUUCACUGUUUUUGAAGGUGUCUGGCACUAGAAAUGAAAACACUUUGUGGGUUGGUGUCACAUUCCCCUCCUAUGUCAUAUACUAGUGGACCCAGCCUCAUCCUGAUGCCUUCUAGGUGGACCCUGCAGACAGCCACUGUUGAGUGAAGUGUCAUGGGAUUCAAAUUAAGUUGAACUUGGAAUGAGAAUUUUUUGGCCGCCCCUUCUUUCCAUGGCUCCCUCUUGCUGCUCUCUCUCCCCCCACCCUUGUCUAUCGAGAUCACGGCUGCUCUCAGGGUUUGGCUGAAGUGUCAGCUCCUCCGUGGGCACUUUCAGCUCUCCUGCUGUUCUCUCCUUACUGAUAAUAGCAGGAUCUUUGUUCUCAAAAUCUGUGUCUCUCCCUGGUCAAAAUCUUGAUCAUUUACGUAUCCCCUGCAGAUCUAGAAUUCCUGCCCCUGGGGAGGAUUUAAUGGGAAUUAUCCCGAGCUGAACAUCUGUGGAGCUGACUGUAAGGUUCUCAGGAGUAACAGAGUGGAUGGGUGGGCACUAUACCUGGUAGUCUGGAGUCCUUGAUACGGAUGGGUCUUUUUUUUCCAGGAGGGGCUCUACCUGCCCAGUAAUUCCUCUGCUGUGGGCCAAGAAGCCUAGACUGUCCAUCCUUCUCCUGGCACCUACGACCCAGUGUCCACAGGAAGGUCCCUAAGAAUUGGUUUUAUUUUGUUUUAAGUAUGAGACAGGGUCUCUCUAUGUAUCCUGGCCUGGCCUAGAACUCAUGGGAAUCCCCUUGCCUCAGCCUGCUGAGUGCUCGGAUUGUAUGCAUGAGCCACAGUUGAGGGCUUUUAAUGUCAGUUCUAUCCUCCUUCCAAACUACUUUUGGAUCUGGUCUCCUCUGACUGAGGCCCAGAUAUAAUUUAACUAUGGAACGUGAGAUGGAACUUGAUCCGGGGGUAGCAAUACAUUUGACAAAGGGGAAGGAAGGGAAGGAGGAAGAUUUUACACACAGCAGGUACAUAUAACUUAGUUCCCUCCUUAAAUGAUUGAGAAAUUUUUCUCCUGUAACGUGAUGAUCCCAGCUCUGUUGUCACAGGGCUUGGCCUGCCACACAUGAAGGAAGAAAGAGGCUCCUCUACCACUCACUCCUUUCUGCACACCAAACAACACCUAAAACUCUAGAACUGAAAUAAAUCUCCCAACUAAGAUCCUAUGAAAUCAAAGUCGCAUGAUUAUGUAAAGUGUGAACUGAAUUGAAGCGGAGCUGCUGAGAAUGAACGGCAGUCGGCAUCCAUUGCUGCCUACUGGAGGCCAAUAAGCACCGAACCAGCAGGAGUAGGAUCCAAGCCCAUGACUUCUCCAUUGAACUGAGAACGCUUGAGAGAGGCUAAUCUGGUCUUAGUUUGAUAUUGGCCACUCUCAGUCCCCAUGGAAAAAGAAAAACAGCCUCAGAAUUUCCCACAGAUUAAAAUAUAACAAAUUGGAGUACACAGUCAAAGACUACUAAACUAAGGUAGUGUGUGUGUGUGUGUGUGUGUGUGUGUGUGUGUGUGUGUGUGUGUGCAUGUGCACAUGCACAUGUGUGCACUAGGAGGGACCCAAGAGAAGCCGAAUCACUGUUUAAAAACCACAGAUGCCACCAAUCAAUUUAUGCUCCCAGGAAUUCAGGAUUUUGAAGGAAGGUCUAGCAGUGGCAGUGGUAUUAGGAGCCUUUAAUCCUAGCACUUGGGAGGCAGAGGCAGGCAGGUCUCUGAGUUCAAGGCCAGCCUGGUCUACAGAGUGAGUUCCGGGACUCAAGGCCAGGGCUAUACAGAGAGGCCCUGUCUUGAAAAACAAAACAAGGAAACAAACAAACAAAACCAAACAGAAGUGGAGAAUUCAGGAUUUUGAAGUUAAAAGAUACAGAACAUAAAAUAACUGUGAGGAAAAUGUUGGAAGGAAACAGUGGAUCAUACAAAUGAGUGGGCAAGGAAGACGAAUGAAGUGACCAAGCUGUUAGAAAAGGAGCCAACUAGAACGUACAGACGUAAUACAACCGUUGGAAUAGGAAAUUAAGUGGAUGAACGAAACAGCAGAUUAAGCACAGUUAGAGGGAGAGAGGAAAUAAUUCUGAAACAAUUACCCAGCAGGUAGCACAGUGAAGCAAGGACGAGAAAAACUGAGUGAGCAGUCCGGUGAUUUGUGGAACACAAUAAGGACGCCCAGCACGUUUCAGAGCCGUAGUCUAGGAAGACAGAAUAGGCUGCUCGCAUGACAGGACGUAGACAUCACUUACUUAUUCGUAAUUAAUGUAAAGCGAGCAUUUUGGAAGCCCAGGGUUAAAGCAGAAUCUUCAAAACCUUAGAACUCCAUUUAAAGCCAGUAGUAAGUAAUUUAAAAAAAAAUCGUGCACAUGUGUGUGCACAUGUGUUUAUAACCAUUGUUUCCCUACUGCGUUUCACUGACACAGUGCACUAAAACAAGGGGUAGAAACAAUCUGUGUGCUAAUUAGUAAGAUCAUUUGCAAAGUCUGUGUACAGAGAAAACCCAAAGGCGUACAGGUAAAUUAUUAGAAGUGAGAGAUCUUAAGAUUACUGUAUUUAAGACCAAUUGAUAAAAAACCAAUUGUUUUGCUCCAUACUACACAGUACGUUAAUGUUUUAAAAAAAACAAUAUAACUUACAAUGUACCAAUGGAUGAAACAGCUAUGUGAAGGUAUCUUGGCAUUUCAUAAGAAGCUAUUGAUAAGGCCCUGGGGAAUCAAAAGAUUUAUGACACUUGAGGAAUUGGAAUCAGGAACAUGCCAGAUUCACCCAAUCCCUCCAGGUAGGUCCCUGACAGUUCUUAUGAAAGUCCCAAAGUUUUAAGUGAUGCUGAGCGACACACUCCUGUGUUUGAGUAUAUGUCCAGAGGAUGGACAUACUCUUAAAGGAUUCAGAGAAGGAGAUGGAAGGCUCUCUUACAACCCAACAGGAUUAUUAAAAAGCUAUAGUAACAGAAAUACAGGAUUUAAUGCGUUACCAUAGUCCAGAGGGAAUAUACCCUAAGACCACGUAGAUGACUGACACCUGAAACCAACUAGGAUUCAACACUAAGCAUACUGUUUUCUCUAUAACAUCUACUUAUGAUAAAUUUUAAUAUGUAAGCUAGGCAUAGUAAGAGCUUAACGGCAAUAUGUAGAGCAAUUACAAAAAACCAUAAGAACAAUUUUUUGUUAGCUUGUUUGUUUGUUUUUGUUUUUCAAGACAGGGUUUCUCUGUGUUGCCUUGGCUGUCCUGGAACUAACUUUGUAUAGCAGGCUGGACUUGAACUCAGAAAUCUGCCUGUCUCUACCUCCCAAGUGCUGGGAUUAAAGGUGUGUGCCACCACUGCCUGGCAAGAACAAUUCUUUUUUGUUUGUUUGUUUGUUUAUUUUUCGAGACAGGGUUUCUCAGUGUAGCCCUGGCUGUCCUGGAACUCACUUUGUAGACCAGGUUGGCCUCGAACUCAGAAAUCCGCCUGCCUCUGCCUCCUGAGUGAACAAUUCUUAAAUAUGGCUUUUCCCCAGUGUAUCUUGUUUUAUUUUCUUGUCUGAAAAAAACACCUUACAGGAUUUUUUUUUUUUUUUGACUCUGUGUCUGUUAUGUUAGAGGGUUACUUAAACACACGGACAGUGAUACACAACAGUUGUGCCAAAACAGAGAUGCUUCUAAGUGACUGGUGGGCAGGUAGGGGUAGUAUAUACAGUGUGGAUGUGUUGGACCAGAAGGGUGACUCAUGUUCUGCAGCAGGAUGGAUUGGGACAGUGAGAGAUUUUACCAUGAUCUGUGUGUUAUAAACUGUAUGAAUUAUUUAUUUCUGAGACUUCUCAUUGAAUAAGUUCAGACCACAGUUGGCAAAAAGCAAUUGAAUCCAUAGAAAGUUAAGGAGAGGGGCUAGAGAGAUGGCUCAGUGGUUAAGAGCACUGACUGCUUUUCCAAAGGUCCUGAGUUCAAAUUUCAGCAACCACAUGGUGGCUCACAACCAUCUGUAAUGAGAUCUGACGCCCUCUUCUGGUGUGUCUGAAGACAGCUACAGUGUACUUAGAUAUAAUCAUAAAUAAAUCUUGAAAAAAAAAAAAAGAAAGUUAAGGAGAGUAUCAUAGAGACAAAUUAGCCGAUACACCCAAAGAGGAAGCUGGGAGAUAACCACACAGCCAAGCAGAAACCAGACUUGUGGUGGCGACGUGGAACACCACGAGAAGUGGCUGGCAGUUCCAAGUGGUUCUGGGACAUCUGGUUAUCAGAAUGGGAGAAAAAUAAGAUUCAGACCCCUACCUCACACCUCAGUUCCAAGUGGAAUACAAGUUUUGAGUGUAGCUGGGCUCAAUGGUGCAUGUCUGUGGUUCUGGGCACUCCUCCAGUUGCUGACUUAGGGUCUCUUAGAUCCAGACACCUAAUACCACAAACAAAACACAAAGCACAAACAAACCUUUAAUGUGGCCUACCUGUGUGAAGAAAUGUCUUUAAAAAGACACAUAGGAUCAUCAUAUUAGAACUGAGAAGUUCUGUGCCCUGUAAGACAAUUUUUAAAAGUAAAGACAGAGCCAGCAAGACAGCUCAGGAGCUCCAGGGUCUACCACCAGGCCUGACCCUGGGGUUUGCUCCCAUGAUGCCUGUGAUAGGCGAGAACUCCCACCCCCCCCCCAAGAUGUCAUCUGACCUCUACACACCUGCUGGGGCGCAUGCGCGCGCGCGCGCGCGCGCGCACACACACACACACACACACACACACACAGAGUGAGUAAAUGAAAUGUGAAAAAAAAGUUCUUAAGUAAAAAGACAAAUCACAGGCUAAGAGGAGAUAUUAUAUUGGAAUAUUAUAUUGGAAUACUCAAUAACUGAGGUUUAAUGUCAAGAUUGGAAAAAAAUGAUUUGAAACAGGAAAAAGAUAAGAACAUCCUAUCACCUGUGAAGAAACAGAAA